GACGAACGCUGGCGGCGUGCCUAACACAUGCAAGUGGAGCGACGAACCGGGCUUCGGCCCGGGGCAGAGCCGCGAACGGGUGAGUAACACGUGGGUAACCUGCCCUGAUGAUCGGGACAACCCGGGGAAACCCGGGCUAAUACCGAAUGUGCUCACGUCACAUCAGUGGCGUGAGUAAAGGUAGCUUCGGCUUCCGCAUCAGGAUGGGCCCGCGGCCCAUUAGCUAGUUGGUGGGGUAAAGGCCUACCAAGGCGACGAUGGGUAGCUGGUCUGAGAGGACGAUCAGCCACACUGGGACUGAGACACGGCCCAGACUCCUACGGGAGGCAGCAGUGGGGAAUCUUGCGCAAUGCGCGAAAGCGUGACGCAGCAACGCCGCGUGGGGGAAGAAGGCCUUCGGGUUGUAAACCCCUUUCAGUUGGGACGAAGCUCCGCCGGUGAAUAGCCGGCUGGAGUGACGGUACCUUCACAAGAAGCCCCGGCUAACUACGUGCCAGCCGCCGCCGUAA
rnacentral:rRNA from 1 species